rnacentral:rRNA from 1 species
CAAAGGUAGCAUAAUCAGUUGGCUUUUAAUUAGAGUCUGGUAUGAAUGAAAUAUGGGUGGUAACUGUCUCUGACAUAUUAAUUUGAACUUUUUUAGCAAGUGCAAAUACUUGCGAGGGUAAAAAAGACGAGAAGACCCUAGAAACUUGAAGUAGUUUUUGUUGGGGCGACAAAAUUACAUUUAACUGAUUGUAUAAAACAUGACAUUUAUUUGCAAGAAUAAGUUACUCUAGGGAUAACAGCAUAAUUUUAACAGUUUGUGACCUCGAUGUUGGAAUUA